rnacentral:rRNA from 1 species
AUUGAACGCUGGCGGCAGGCUUAACACAUGCAAGUCGAGCGGGGGAAGGUAGCUUGCUACCGGACCUAGCGGCGGACGGGUGAGUAAUGCUUAGGAAUCUGCCUAUUAGUGGGGGACAACAUCUCGAAAGGAAUGCUAAUACCGCAUACGUCCUACGGGAGAAAGCAGGGGAUCUUCGGACCUUGCGCUAAUAGAUGAGCCUAAGUCGGAUUAGCUAGUUGGUGGGGUAAAGGCCUACCAAGGCGACGAUCUGUAGCGGGUCUGAGAGGAUGAUCCGCCACACUGGGACGGGGACACGGCCCAGACUCCUACGGGAGGCAGCAGUGGGGAAUAUUGGACAAUGGGGGGAACCCUGAUCCAGCCAUGCCGCGUGUGUGAAGAAGGCCUUAUGGUUGUAAAGCACUUUAAGCGAGGAGGAGGCUACUCUAGUUAAUACCUAGGGAUAGUGGACGUUACUCGCAGAAUAAGCACCGGCUAACUCUGUGCCAGCAGCCGCCGUAA